ensembl:lncRNA
UGUGCCAGUGGCUGGCUCCUCAGCCCCAGGGGGAAAAGGGUGUCAGAUUUUGCCUCUCUCGUAACUUCAGGAAAGAUUAAUGAACUUCAGCCCAUCUGCAGUGAACGGCUGAUCCUUCGGGAUGAAAGGAGCUCAAAACACUCAGCCUUAUACUUAACGACUGAUCACUCUUCUUGAGCAGUGGUGUCAUAUUGGCAGGUCUAUCCACAGAACUGUGCUAGACAGUGGAUAACAGUGAAUACCCUUUAAUUGGAAUGGUCACCAAUGGCCUCUCUCAGACACUGUCAGAAGAAUCUAAGAUGGAUCCAUGAAUUUACCUUCAAGGGGAUGUGCGCUAUUCAAAACUAUGCAUCUUUUCCACAAUGGUUCAUUAAAAUUCUAUGGAAAAGAGUCUGGGAAUGGGAUGGGAUGGCACUUCCAGAAUAGUCUUGUGAGGAUCCCAGAAACCAAUGCCCCAGAGGACACAGGAUUAAACUGGUAGAAAUUAGCAAGACUAUUACUUAAAAUCUUUGAUGCUUGACCAAAGGGCUUCCAACAAGUCAAGAAAUGUUUACGCAACAAAAUGUACAGAUAUCGGUAGGAACAAUGUGAGGCCAGGACAAUGAAGGCAGGGCAGCACCUUUCCACUCACCCAGCUUGAUGUUAUGGAAGAGGAUUCCAUGGGGCCUGACAACCAAGUGGCAACUCCGGGC